rnacentral:rRNA from 1 species
GGAUUUUUGACAAUGGGCGAAAGCCUGAUCCAGCAAUCCCGCGUGCAGGAUGAAGGCCUUCGGGUUGUAAACUGCUUUUGUACGGAAGGAAAAGAUCUGGGUUAAUACCCUGGAGUCAUUACGGUACCGUCAGAAUAAGCACCGGCUAACCACGUCACAGCAGCCGCGGUAAUACGUAGGGUGCAAGCGUUAAUCGGAAUUACUGGGCGUAAAGCGGGCGGAGGCGGUGUUGUAAGACAGAAGUGAAAUCCCCGGGCUCAACCUGGGAACUGCCUUUGUGACUGCAAGGCUAGGGUACGGCAGAGGGGGGUGGAAUUCCGCGUGUAGCAGUGAAAUGCGUAGAAAUGCGGAGGAACACCGAUGGCGAAGGCAACCCCCUGGGCCUGUACUGACGCUCAUGCACGAAAGCGUGGGGAGCAAAAA